rnacentral:lncRNA from 1 species
UUUUAUUGCUAUAAAACAUGUAAUAUGUAAACAGUAUUAGAUGGUUAUAACUAUGGCAAUAUACAUAUACAACAAUAAGAUUUCAAGUCAUGGGGAUGACCAAAAUCACUAACUCUUGAAAGGAAACUGUUGUGUCUGGUGGUGACUAUCAAGAGUACAGUGAUGGGCCCAACAUCAUGAACAUGUAACUGGACAGCACUUUAGAGUACAGAACCAAACCAGUUAUAAGUAUAUAGCGGAUGAGGGCGUUCGCAGCCGACCGCUCAGACUGGUGAGGGCGUUCGCAGCCGACGCUCAGACUGGUGAGGGGGCGUUCGCAGCCGACCGCUCAGACUGGUGAGGGGGCGUUCGCAGCCGACCGCUCAGACUGGUGAGGGGGCGUUCGCAGCCGACCGCUCAGACUGGCGAGGGGGCGUUCGCAGCCGACCGCUCAGACUGGCGAGGGGGCGUUCGCAGCCGACUGCUCAGAGCAUACCAGCCAACUGUUUUUACGUGGUCCUUCUAGCCGGUUUUAGUGACCAGUAGUAUCUACAAGUAAAUUAUUUAGAAAUGUACAUGUGUGGGUGGUGGUGUUUUUGAUGCCAUGGGGAAUAGUUAGGUCAUUUCUGAACCUUAUUUGGUAACUUUGGGAGUUUUUGCACAUACUUGAUACUGUACAUUUUACUAUGCUACUACAUGGAAGGAUUUUAUUUAUACUUUUCCAUUGACUUUGAUUAAAAUAAUAAACACCUGCAUCAGCUAGGCUGGGACUAUGCUGCACACUAGAGAGCCUCGUCACGGGAAACACUCAUGAAAUAUCCCCUAAUUUGGCGACAUAUUUAAAAUGUUUGCAGGAGAGUAUACAGGCAGCUGACAUGGGCAAUGACCAAUCACUACUUUCAAAGGACGACAUUACUCGUCCAUCUAGUUAUCAGUUAUCCAUCUAGUUAUUCACCCACACAUGUCAAAGUCGAACCGCAAUGCUGACGUUUCUUUACUCUGAGGUCCAACCAUGCUAACGCAGUGGAGUUGCCAAUUCAUGUUCAACUGAGCUACGCAGGGUGCGUGGUAAGCGAGGGUCUCAAUAGACUUCAAUAGGAGUAUGGUGGCGGGCGGCAAAACGCAAGUGGUGCGAUUUGUGGUGCCCGCUCCUGUGAGCGGCGCCGCUGGCUUAGAGUUUGAGCUGCCACAAGAUGAAAUGAGUUGAAGUCUUGAGAGGCCGAAGCGCAUGGUUGACCUAUGAGCAGAGUACAUCUU